ACACGAACAAAAUACACCUUAACCAGAUUUUUAAAAGUUUAUAUUCGCAAAGAAAUGCAGCUUUUGGGAAAUUAAUUGUCACGUGUUGAAGCUUAGUUUUACCGUUUGAAAAUCGCGAGAGCUGGAGGCAUGUGAGCUUACUGUGCUUAGAAAAAACAAACCAUUUUACCUCUGUAUCCAGUUGAAAUCACACAGGUGUAGAGGAUGGAUAAUUAGCUGUCAGUCAGGUGAAAAGCACGUGAGUUCCAAACAGUUCGCCCAGUCAGCCCUGAGCAUUUGACCAUAUCCUGGACAGAGGAUAGCCCUUUGACGAUGGAUCAGACACUUGGUAAAGCGGACAGCCUGACCGCAGAGCUCGCCCGGCCAAUACUGUUAGAUGAAUCGACUGUUCCACGAGGACAACUGCUACCAGUGUGCCAGAAUCAGUUUCUUUCAGCCCCCUUUCAGUCUGUAGAAAACAACUGGAUGAACCAACGUUCUGCAUUCACACAUUUCUCUUCGUGUGCUUUUACACCUCCCGCUACCAGUCACACUUUUCCACAGAUGGGAUCAGACCAAUUCUCAACACAAAUGUCACUGGAUAUCACUUCUGGCCAGGAUGAUCCUGUUGCUUUCCCACCAGUUAACUUUGACAAAGCCAGACCAUCAGAACUGCAGAGUGAUUUAAGUGAUUUGGACUCAUUGUUCAAACAGAGUGAUUCACUUCUUAUUGACCCGACUGAUACAGCAGAAGUAUUUUCAAAACAAGUCAUCCCACUGUCUCAACCUCAAAGUGCAUCUUCAACUUAUGUUGACCAGAUCAGUGGAAAUGAAACCCCUCCAAUACCUGGAGUUUUGUCUAAUUCCCUUGUCCUGAACAAUGACAGACAGUGUGAUAUGGUCAGUCCAUCAUGGCUGGAUUUAUUUUUGGAUGGCAAUAACAACUUGAGCUUUGACGCCGACCUAGAAUCUGCUCUUUCACCAGAAGCAGGAUCUGUUUAACUUUAAAAGUUAUCAUCAUGCAGAUGAAAUGGUUUUUUUCUCUGUCAAGAUGUUGAUGUUAAUGUUUUCUUAAAUUUAGAAAUAAAACAAAGGGACCGAUGCAGUUUUUUGUGCAUGAUUGGUAGUCGGGUGGUGGGUAAGACAUUUUUUGUUAGCCUUUAUUCUGAAGUUCUUGUAAAGCAGAAAUAUUCAAUAAUUAUUUAAAACUUAAUUACAGUUCUUGCAACAAAAUUACACAAGAUUUGCUUUUUUUCUGCUGCCAUGUGUAUUUUACAUAGUUUUUUUGUUCAGCAAGCUGUGAAAGAUUAUUGAUAACUGUUUUGUCUGAUCAUUGGAGAAAAAAUCCUUUAGUUAAUAAACUGCUAAAUAUUCCCUUAAA